rnacentral:rRNA from 1 species
AACGAACGCUGGCGGCAUGCCUAACACAUGCAAGUCGAACGAGACCUUCGGGUCUAGUGGCGCACGGGUGCGUAACGCGUGGGAACCUGCCCUUAGGUUCGGAAUAACUCCCCGAAAGGGGUGCUAAUACCGGAUAAUGUCUUCGGACCAAAGAUUUAUCGCCUUUGGAUGGGCCCGCGUUGGAUUAGCUAGUUGGUCGGGUAAAAGCCUACCAAGGCGACGAUCCAUAGCUGGUCUGAGAGGAUGAUCAGCCACACUGGGACUGAGACACGGCCCAGACUCCUACGGGAGGCAGCAGUGGGGAAUAUUGGACAAUGGGCGAAAGCCUGAUCCAGCAAUGCCGCGUGAGUGAUGAAGGCCUUAGGGUUGUAAAGCUCUUUUACCCGGGAUGAUAAUGACAGUACCGGGAGAAUAAGCGCCGGCUAACUCCGUG